UUCAGCCUUUUCUUUGCCAGGACGCGGCUGUGGCAUUUCUGGUCUUGUAAACAUCGGACUCUUUGGGGCCUUAAAAAAAAUAAAGACGCCCCUCCUUCCUUUACUGGGGGCUUCUAAAUCCGUUCCAUUCCACUGCGAAGCGGAGCAGGACCUAAGAAAUGGAGAGAAAAUUAAACGUCAUAAAGAAAAGUUCAUUUACAUCUUAAAUGUCUGAAUGUUACGGUUUCCUUCAGAAAACAAGGCGGUACACUCGAUCCAGAGGCGGAAAGAAAGGGAGAGAAGCAGGAAAAUGCGACAGAAGCGUUUUACCCGGGCAGCUAGCAAAGAAAGAGGCUGUAGUCGGUGGAACUGGAAGCAAAGCGCGUAAGGACCCGGUGCGGGGGCAGCGAUCCCCGAGCGCUGAGCGGGCUGCGAGGAGGCCUGGGGGUAGCGCUGGGGAUGAACAGAGAGAAAGAAGGAAAGAAAAUUAAUUGGUGUGGGGAUAUCUGCGGAGGACUUACCUUUUUCCUGGACCUCACAGCUCGUUUUCGCCUCCUCUGGGCUCAUUUUAAGGUCUAAUCAUUGCUUUUUAAAUUGAAAUUCUAAUGGCAAAGGAAGGGAAAGAUGCACAGAAAACAAUGAUGGGGAAUUCUGGGUCAAUCUGAUGCUCCAAAAGCCUCUAAUUGUUGUCACCUCCACCCU